AACAAACGCUGGCGGCGUGUCUUAAGCAUGCAAGUUGAGCGGCAAGGAGGAGAGAUCCUCCCUAGAGCGGCGGACUGGUGAGUAACGCGUGGGUAAUCUAUCGUAGGCAUGGGGAUAGUCACUAGAAAUAGUGGGUAAUACCGAAUACGUUCCAUGAGGGGAGUACUUAUGGAAGAAAGGGUGCUACGGCACUGGCCUUAGGUGAGCUCGCGUCCCAUUAGCUAGUUGGUGAGGUAAAGGCCCACCAAGGCGAUGAUGGGUAGCCGGCCUGAGAGGGUGUACGGCCACACUGGGACUGAGAUACGGCCCAGACUCCUACGGGAGGCAGCAGCUAAGAAUAUUCCGCAAUGGACGAAAGUCUGACGGAGCGACGCCGCGUGGAUGAAGAAGGCCGAAAGGUUGUAAAGUUCUUUUGCUAGGGGAGAAUAAGUGAGGAGGGAAUGCCCUCAUGAUGACAAGGACUAGCGAAUAAGCCCCGGCCAACUACGUGCCAGCAGCCG
rnacentral:rRNA from 1 species